GCCCUUGUAGCUAAGUGGCUAUAGCGCUGGCCUUCUAAGCCAGAGGUCAUGGGUUCGACCCCCAUCAAGGGUG
rfam:Ramazzottius varieornatus DNA, contig: Scaffold015, strain: YOKOZTNA-1.